UGUGUUGAAGUUUUUAAGGGCACAGGGUGGAUGCCUUGGCAUUAGGAGCCGAUGAAGGACGUUGUAGCCUGCGAUAAGCCUCGGGGAGUUGGCAAACGAACCGUGAUCCGAGGAUGUCCGAAUGGGGAAACCCAGCUGGAGUUAUGUCCAGUUACCCUCAUCUGAAUAUAUAGGGUGAGUGGAGGGAACGUCGGGAAGUGAAACAUCUCAGUACCGGCAGGAAGAGAUAUUCCGUUAGUAGUGGCGAGCGAACGCGGAUCAGGCCAAACCAUGCGCGUGGAAAGUUGUCAGACGUUGCGUGUAUGGGGUUGUGGGACCUUCUGAACCUUACUGACAUGGGGUUAAGGAGUAAGAAAGUUGCGUUGAUAGUCGAACGGUAUUGAAAGACCGACCGUAGAAGGUGGUAGUCCUGUAGACGAAAUCUCGUGGCCUCCUUGAAGGGAUCCCAAGUAGCACCGGGCCCGUGAAAUCCGGUGUGAAUCUGCACAGACCACUGUGUAAGCCUAAAUACUCCCUAAUGACCGAUAGCGGACUAGUACCGUGAGGGAAAGGUGAAAAGUACCCCGGGAGGGGAGUGAAAUAGUACCUGAAACCGUGUGCCUACAAUCCGUCGGAGCCUCCCUAGUUGGGGUGACGGCGUGCCUUUUGAAGAAUGAGCCUGCGAGUUAGUGCUCAGUGGCGAGGUUAACCCGUGUGGGGAAGCCGUAGCGAAAGCGAGUCUGAAUAGGGCGAAUGUAGUCGCUGGGUCUAGACCCGAAGCGGAGUGAUCUAUCCAUGGGCAGGUUGAAGCACUGGUAAGACAGUGUGGAGGACCGAACCCACCUAGGUUGAAAACUGGGGGGAUGACCUGUGGAUAGGGGUGAAAGGCCAAUCAAACUCCGUGAUAGCUGGUUCUCCCCGAAAUGCAUUUAGGUGCAGCGUUGCGUGUUGCUUGCCGGAGGUAGAGCUACUGGAUGGCCGAUGGGCCCUACAAGGUUACUGACGUCAGCCAAACUCCGAAUGCCGGUAAGUGUAAGCGCAGCAGUGAGACUGCGGGGGAUAAGCUUCGUAGUCGAGAGGGAAACAGCCCAGAUCACCGGCUAAGGCCCCUAAGCGUGUGCUAAGUGGGAAAGGAUGUGGAGUUGCUUAGACAACCAGGAGGUUGGCUUAGAAGCAGCCACCCUUGAAAGAGUGCGUAAUAGCUCACUGGUCAAGUGAUUCCGCGCCGAUAAUGUAGCGGGGCUCAAGUACACCGCCGAAGCCGUGACAUCAACGCGUUAGCUAGGCCUUCGUGGUCCAGGUGCGUUGAUGGGUAGGGGAGCGUCGUGUGGGCAGUGAAGCCGCGGGGGAACCCAGUGGUGGAGCCUACACGAGUGAGAAUGCAGGCAUGAGUAGCGAAAGACGGGUGAGAAACCCGUCCGCCGGAUGACUAAGGGUUCCAGGGUCAAGCUAAUCUGCCCUGGGUAAGUCGGGACCUAAGGCGAGGCCGACAGGCGUAGUCGAUGGACAAGCAGUUGAUAUUCUGCUACCGGCGAAGAACCGCCCAUACCGAAUCCAAUGAUACUAACCACCACAACAUUCCUUUGUUCUUCCUUCGGGUUGAAUGUUGGGAUGGCGUGCUGGGACCUGAGUUGGUAGUAGGUAAGCGUAUUAACAGUGGUGACGCAGGAAGGUAGUCUAAGCCUGGCGAUGGUUGACCAGGUCUAAGGUUGUAGGGCGAACGGUAGGCAAAUCCGCCGUUCAUAUGCCUGAGAACUGAUGGGUAACCCCAUAGGGGUGAAGUAGAUGAUCCUAUGCUGCCAAGAAAAGCCACGACGCGAGGUUCCAGCCGCCCGUACCCUAAACCGACUCAGGUAGUCAGGUAGAGAAUACUAAGGCGAUCGAGAUAAUCGUGGUUAAGGAACUCGGCAAAAUGCCCCCGUAACUUCGGGAGAAGGGGGGCCCUAACCGUCAACACCCUAGCGGUGGGCAGCGGAUCAGGGCCGCAGAGACCAGAGAGAAGCGACUGUUUACUAAAAACACAGGUCCGUGCGAAGUCGCAAGACGAUGUAUACGGACUGACGCCUGCCCGGUGCUGGAAGGUUAAGAGGACCGGUUAGCCACCUUGUGUGGCGAAGCUGAGAAUUUAAGCCCCAGUAAACGGCGGUGGUAACUAUAACCAUCCUAAGGUAGCGAAAUUCCUUGUCGGGUAAGUUCCGACCUGCACGAAUGGCGUAACGACUUCUCUACUGUCUCAACCACGAACUCGGCGAAAUUGCACUACGAGUAAAGAUGCUCGUUACGCGCAGCAGGACGGAAAGACCCCGGGACCUUUACUAUAGCUUGGUAUUGGUGUUCGGUCCGGUUUGUGUAGGAUAGGUGGGAGACUUUGAAGCAGCCACGCCAGUGGUUGUGGAGUCAUCGUUGAAAUACCACUCUGACCGGGCUGGGCUCCUAACCUCGGACCAUGAUCUGGUCCAGGGACAGUGCCUGGUGGGUAGUUUAACUGGGGCGGUUGCCUCCCAAAAAGUAACGGAGGCGCUCAAAGGUUCCCUCAGCCUGGUUGGCAAUCAGGUGUUGAGUGUAAGUGCACAAGGGAGCUUGACUGUGAGACUGACAGGUCGAGCAGGGACGAAAGUCGGAACUAGUGAUCCGGCCACGGCAAGUGGAAGCGUGGUCGCUCAACGGAUAAAAGGUACCCCGGGGAUAACAGGCUGAUCUUGCCCAAGAGUCCAUAUCGACGGCAUGGUUUGGCACCUCGAUGUCGGCUCGUCGCAUCCUGGGGCUGGAGUAGGUCCCAAGGGUUGGGCUGUUCGCCCAUUAAAGCGGUACGCGAGCUGGGUUUAGAACGUCGUGAGACAGUUCGGUCCCUAUCCGCUGCGCGCGCAGGAAACUUGAGAAGGGCUGUCCCUAGUACGAGAGGACCGGGACGGACGAACCUCUGGUAUGCCAGUUGUCACGCCAGUGGCACCGCUGGUUAGCUACGUUCGGAAGGGAUAACCGCUGAAAGCAUCUAAGCGGGAAGCCUGCUUCAAGAUAAGGUUUCCAUACCAGUAAUGGUGAGAGGCACCCAGCAGACCACUGGGUAGAUAGGCCGGACGUGGAAGACGGGACUAACGACCGUCGCAGCUGACCGGUACUAAUCAGCCAACAACCUCAA
rnacentral:rRNA from 1 species